GUAUAUAUUACAUAGGCACAACAUUCUAAUGACAUACAAUUGGGGUAAAAUGAAGUAACAUAGACCUGGAAAGGUCUACAAAAAGUGCACAGGUGGAGAUAUAAAGAUGACAAGGCGUGCACAUGUUCCCUAGAGAACCAGCAACAACCCAUCAGGUUUAUUUCAAUAAUGAUCCUUCCGCAGGUUCACCUACGGAAA
rnacentral:misc_RNA from 1 species